AAAGAAAUGAAUAUUUCCCUCUGAAAACUUUUGCCGAUCUGCUUGGAUGCUCCGAUCACAUGGCGUCUACUCAACAAGCUUUGCCUCCUGACCCUGGUGAAAAAAUCCAAGGGGAAGAAGAGGCACAAUUUUCUACAGUGCCAAUCCAUGUUGUCACUAAUCCAUCUGAACUACCUGUUGAAUUCUUGGAACCUUCUGCUGAGACACAACUGGUGAUUGGUUUUGAUUGUGAGGGUGUUGAUCUUUGUCGCCAUGGGACUCUCUGUAUUAUGCAGUUUUCCUUUCCAGAUGCAAUAUAUCUGGUUGAUGCUGUUCAAGGCGGGGAGGCUAUCGUCCAAGCUUGUAAGCCUGCACUCGAGUCUAACUACAUCACAAAAGUUAUUCAUGAUUGCAAAAGAGAUAGUGAGGCAUUGUAUUUUCAGUUUGGCAUAAAGUUGCACAAUGUUGUGGAUACACAGAUUGCAUAUUCUUUGAUCAAUGAACAAGAAGGACAGGCACGGGUCCCAGAUUGUCACAUAUCAUUUGUUGGUCUACUUGCUGACCCACGUUAUUGUGGAGUAUCUUAUGAUGAGAAAGAAGAAGUCAGAGUUCUUCUAAGACAGGACCCCAAGUAUUGGACAUAUAGGCCGUUGUCUGAACAGAUGAUCCGUGCUGCUGCAGAUGAUGUCCGAUUUCUUCUCCAUAUAUACCAUAAGAUGGUGCAAAAGUUGAAUGGCAAGUCCUUAUGGAACCUAGCUGUCCGUGGCGCCCUCUAUUGUCGCUGUUUCUGCAUCAAUGACAAUCAUUUUGCAGACUGGCCGCCUCUACCUCCGAUUCCAGAAAACAUUGUUGCUGACGGAAGUAUCCUUGAAGAAGAAGUUUUGUCUGUUGUUGAUGUUCCCCCGGGGAAAAUGGGACGUGUUAUUGGCAGAAGGGGAGCUUCUAUAUUGUCGAUAAAGCAGUCAUGCGAUGCUGAAAUAUUCAUAGGAGGUGCUAAAGGUCCUCCUGAUAAGGUUUUCAUCAUUGGACCACAAAAGCAAGCCAGAAAAGCCCAAGCUAUUCUAAUGGGGAAACUGCUAGAUUUCUGAUCUUUAUAUUGUAUCUUUAGAUCAAGACAAGAAAAAGAAAAGGCAAAAUACAUAUAGAGACCCUCAUUGUAUCAUAAAUAAGAAGUUUGGUGGUGGCUACAAUGUACAACUUGAUGUGCUCCAUUGUUUCAGCUACUGGACUGAAAAUAAUGAGGGAAUGGGAAGGAUGAUGAGAAAUUU
rnacentral:misc_RNA from 1 species